AUCACAAUGAAACCAGUUCCAAUAUAAUCAUCAAAGUUAAGCAAUUUUGAGCCUGGUCAGUAGCUAGAUGGGUGACCACUUGGGAAUACAAGGUGCUGUAUG